UAUCUCUGUAGAGUCUGCAUAUCAAUAAGCGGAGGAAAAGAAACUAACUAGGAUUCCCUCAGUAACGGCGAGUGAAGCGGGAAGAGCUCAAAUUUGAAAUCUUCAAGGUUCUACCUUGACGAAUUGUAGUUUAAAGAAGUGUUUUCUGUUGGAGUUUUGGUAAAAGUUCUUUGGAAUAGGACAUCAUAGAGGGUGAGAAUCCCGUAUUUGACCAUUAUUUCCAGCUUUGUGAUACACUUUCAAAGAGUCGGAUUGUUUGGGAAUGCAGUCCAAAAUGGGUGGUAAAUUUCAUCUAAAGCUAAAUAUUGGCGAGAGACCGAUAGCGAACAAGUACCGUGAGGGAAAGAUGAAAAGAACUUUGAAAAGAGAGUUAAACAGUACGUGAAAUUGUCAAAAGGGAAGCGUUUGACACCAGUGUUGUUUUCUCGAAAAUCAAUUAAAAAUGGCUUGAUUUUGUGUUGUAUUGACCUUAAAAGCUUUCUUCACUUUUUUCAUGUCUUUUUUAAUGCACUUUUCGUUUAACAAGUCAACAUCAGUUUCUUUUGUUGUAAAAAGGUCAUUGGAAGGUGGCUUUCUUUUCGGAGAAAGUGUUUAUAGCCUUUGACUUCUGCAAUCGGAGAGACUGAGGUCUGCAGCGUAGAUCCUUCUGGAUUAGAUUCAUUUGUGCUAAGUUACAACCGUUUAUAGACAACUUGUUGACUAUAUUCGAUCCUGUAGCUUACUCGCUUAUGUAAUUUUACCUACGCUUAGGAUGUUGAUAUGCAUGACUGAUAU
rnacentral:rRNA from 1 species